CUUAAAUUCUAAUUUACCCAAAGUUAGAACUUCAAAAUUAUAAAAUCCAAUAAUUUAAAUUAUCCAAUUAGGGGAAAAAUCCAAUUACUCAAUUUAAAUCUUAAAAUAAAACUAACUUGAGAACGCGGGGCGUUACGGUGUACAAGAGCGUAAUGCUUCUUCUUGGUAGCAAUUUUCUUUGUUGUGACUACCGAAGGAGAGUGAAGGAAUCUCUUUGAGCAGCUUGGAGUCCCGAGCAGCUUUUGAAGUUUUUUGGGCAAACAAUUGUGCAUUUUGGCUUUUCGAGGUAAUCCUGCUACUUUUUUAUUUUUUCUUUUCAGGAUGUCUGGUCUAGGAACAGAAUACUGCAACAUAGACGAUUAUGAAUACUUGGGCCCAUUGUACACUGAAUUAAGAGAUUUAGGUAUGCCUUCUGUAGAUUCUCCAUGCAUGGAGACAUUUCUAUUUCCUGCUUCACUUCUAAAUGAAUUUAUGACGGAGAAUGGUUUAGCUGAACGCUCUGCUGUGAAUUUUAAGGAUGUUAAUAGCAAUUGGAUUUAUAAUUUUGAUAGAAUGGUUAGCGAGCCUUUUGGUGGCGAGUCUUUAAAGGAAAGAGAGAUACCCAAAUUAGUAACUACUCAUAGAGGGGUGGAUCAUGUGAUUACAAAUAUAGUGCCCCUAUAUCUUGAUAUGGGUUGGUGUCGGGAUCACUGGGAAUCCCUUCACAUGUUGUACAGGAAGAUUUAGACUAUUACCUCUCUCGAUAUUGUAUUCCGAUGUCAAUUUCUAUGAGAAUUCCUAAACCGCAUGAACGUAUGACACAUCCUCCCGAGGGAGAGACAACCCUGUGCACAAAGAUGUUCGAGAAUGGGGUGUUAUUGCCUCUUCACCCAUUUAUCCAUCAUUUCUUGUGUGAACUCCAGGUAGAUCCAGCACAGUUACCACCUAAUAGUUGAAUCAUUCUACUUGGUAGUUUCAUUGCUUGGAGGUGAUUUUACGGAAGGGACGAACUUGAUAUUUUUAAUAUUUUGCAUAUAUUUACUUUAAAGGUGGCCCCAUCCAAGGAGAAUCUGUUUAUGUAUCUUUUUAGGAAGAAAGAGAAGAGCCACUCUGAUGAGAAAGAGGGUGAAGCUAGACUCGAUCAAAAGGCUUAGGGGGUGAGGUCGAGUCUAGUCAAAGGAUUGUAGAAUGGCGGGAGUCUCGAAGGGAGGGCUCUUCGGGAGCGUCCUUGCAUCGUUCUUAGCAAAUGGUUACCUAUCCUAACUCUAAUAAAGAUUGGAAAGAAUCCUAGUUUUUUGUGAGUGGAAAUUUGCUCGCGAGUGUGCUAGCAAUCAUAUGGUCCCUCCCAGGUUCGAGACGUCGGUUUCUGUUCGUGCCCCUCCUAAUCAUGGUGCCCUUUUUCUUAAGAGGUUGAUGUCUUUAGUAAGCAAGGUGGUUGACCUGCUCUUUGAAUCCAACCACACAAGAAAGGUUUGCCUCGAUUGACCUCUCCUUCACAUGAGCUAGACGAUGAUUAAAUCAACGAAGCAUAUGUUGUCGAUUCAGACAGUGAGAAACUUCUCUUUGUUUUGAGAGACCCACCAUUCUUCUGUCGCCUACCGUCCAACCACCUACUAGUCAAGCGGCAAUGAAUCCUCUUCACCGUCUUCACGCACAAAAGAGAAAAGCUAUUCAGGGAGGAUCUUCGAAUGUGGCUUCAGAGUCUCUCCAAAGACGUCGCUUGACAGAAGCAUCCACCUUGAUUGGAUCGUUGGAUCCAUCACCUACUAUAAUGGGUCCUCCAUCACUCGCUUCUACUCGAUUGAGGGGUGUCACUCCACUGAUCGGGUCUUCACUUGCCGGGGCUCCUCGUGGGGGAGGCUAAUGGAUCACCUAUUUUAAAAACUUGGUCUACGAAAAACAGAUUUUAGUUCGAGAGUCGGCUGAGCAUAAGGAAGGUGUUAGCACCCUAAAACACCCGUUUGAAAAUGGUACCAUAUUUAUAGAAUUUAAUUUGAAGCACGUAAAGACUCGAACUUGGGUUACAAAUAUUAAUACACAAGAGCUUUACCAAUGUGCCAA